GUCAUUGUAGUAUAGUGGUGAGUAUUCCCGCCUGUCACACGGGUGACCCGAGUUCAAUGCCCGGCAAUGGCG
rnacentral:tRNA from 1 species